GGAGAUGUGGCUCAGUGGUUAAGAGCUCUUGCUGUUCUUGCAAAGGACCUGGGUUUGAUUCCCAGCCCCCA
rnacentral:tRNA from 1 species